AUGGGUCUCUCUUCCUUCAAGAAUUUGAAGAACCAUAUUGUGGGGAAGUCAUGCCUCCUCCUGCAACUUAUAGGCAAGCAAUCCCAGCCUGUCCAUGACCUCACAAUAGGUGUGGAGUUUGGGACCCACGUGGUCAACAUUGAUGGAAAACAAAUCAAACAGCAAAUCUGGGAUACAGAUAGGCAAGAAUCCUUCCAUCUUCCACCUGUUCCUACUACAGGGGAACAGUUGGAGCAUUGCUGGUAUAUGACAUUACAAGACAUGAAACCUUCAAUCACCUGGCCUCAUGGUUAGAGGAUGCCCACCAGCAUUCUAGCAUGUGGUUUUCAUGAAAACUGGGAAUAAAGGUGACCUAGAGUCCCACAGGGAUGUGAAGAGAGAAGGAGGAAAGGCCUUUGCUCAUGAGCAUGACUUACAUUCAUGGAAACUCAGGCGAAACAGCCUGCAAUGUUGAAGAGGCCCUCAUUAACACAAAGAAAUAUACAGGAAGAUCCAGCAGGGUUUAUCUAUGUCCACAAUAAGGCAAACAGCAUCAAGAUUGGGCGCCAACAGUAGAUUUUAACAUCACAGGGACCCAGCACCUUCUAG